UACGUAGGGGGCGAGCGUUAUCCGGAAUUACUGGCGUAAAGCGCACGCAGGCGGUUCGCCAAGUUUGGAGUGACAGUUGUCGGCUCAACCGACAAAGGACUUCAAAAACUGGUGAACUUGAGGACGAGAGAGGAACAUGGAACUCCAGGUGUAGUAGUGAAAUGCGUAGAUAUCUGGAAGAACACCAAUGGCGAAGGCAAUGUUCUGGCUCGUUUCUGACGCUCAGGUGCGAAAGCCAGGGGAGCGAACGGG
rnacentral:rRNA from 1 species